CCAAUUCCUAACAGUCAGGGGCCAUCACUGCACACAGGCGAAAUACUAUGGACUUGGGGCUCAUAUUGGUUUUCUUUGUCCUUCUUUUAAAAUGUAUUCAGUGUGAAGUGCAGUUGUUGGAGUCUGAUGGAGGCUUAGUGCAGCCUGGGAAGUCUCUGAAACUCUCCUGUGCAGCCUCUGGAUUCUCCUUUGGUGAUUAUGGAAUGGACUGGGUCUGCCAGGCUCCAGGGAAGGGACAGGAGUGGGUUGCUUUAAUUAGUUACAAUGGUGGUAGCACCUACUAUACUGACGCUGUGAAGGGCCGGUUCACAAUCUCCAGAGACAAUGCCAAGAACACUCUGUACCUGGAAAUGAGCAGUCUGAAGUCUGAAGACACAGCCAUGUAUUACUGUUCAGGAGACACAGUGAGUGAAUGUUACUGUGAGCUCAGACAAAAACACCCCUGUGGGGAAACACAGGAUCAGCAGGGGGCACUGAGAGCACUUAGAGAUCAGGGUCAGAGAAGAGGCUAUUCAGAGAAACAUUGA